CCCAGCCCAGCCCGGCCCAGCCAAGUGGACAUUCCAGGCCUCACGUGAUAAAGACGAGGCCGCUGGCCUCGGGUAAGUCAACAGGCUCUGUCGCCCGGAGAGAUAGGAGGCCCAGGCCAGGGUCACCUGCUGAGCAGGGUGUGUGUGGGGGAACAGCCCGGCCCAAACACACACAUAAAUAAGGCACUGAGAGACAGCUAGGCAGCCAAGGGUCUGUCCUCUGCAGAGGAACCUCGAGCCCCCCCCCCCCCCCACCGCCGGGAGCACAGGCAGAGGGGCCUCUCCGCCAGGGUGGGGGCUCCCAGCAAGCUCCCAGGCAGACAGGGCACUCAGAGGCCAGCCUCCUCCGUGCUCUUCCAACCUCUUCCCAGAGCAAAAUUCAAACCCUCACCCCCUCUCCUCCCCAAGGAGAGAUGACAAUUUCCGUUCUGGGAGGGGGGUGACAGCUGCAGAGCGGGCCACCCCCCCUCCCAGCUCCAGCUCCACUCUCAUCUAGGGAAACUGCUAAAUCAACACUCCGCAGUCACGGGUAGGUAGCGCUGGCCUGAGCCUGCCCGCACGCUCUCAAAAAGGGGAUUGCAUGGGGCUGGGCGUCCCAUUUCCUGGGUUUCAGGGGCGGUGGGAGCCCAGGGUACCGGCGUCUUUCGGGCGAGGGAUCAGGUCAAGCUUAAAGCCAGUAGCCCCCCUCCCCCAAACGUCUUAAUUUAAAUGCUCCCAAUGGCACGAACGGGCGCCCCCACCCCCGCGGGGCUGGGGCAGCUGAGGUGGCGCCGGGCGUUCAAAUCGCGCUCCAAACAAGUCCGCAGCGACCGCGCUCGCAGCCCCCGCCAGGCGGCCCCAGCGGAAAACUUGAAAGGGACUCUGUUUGCCGGCGGCCCUGGGGCGGCUCCGGCGGGGGCGAGGGCCGAGCGAUCACACACGCCCCCUCCCCAGCGCUUCCUGCGCGAACGCGGGGCGGGGGGGGCGGGGGCGGCGCUGGGCCCGCCGCAGACCCAGGGCUCCAGGCAGCGCCCUCGGCGCAGGCCAAGGAGGGGACCCGGAGGCUGGCCCGCCGGCGCCCCUCUCCGCAGACGCGACUCGGACCACCCAGGGUCCAGGGACCAAAACAGGGCGCGGCCACCAAAACCUGCAAACCCCGGGCGCAGGUCUUUCCCGACGAAUCACUAAGAACCCCCGAUUCCCGGGUGCCUCCUUGUCCCCCUUCCGAUUCCCGGGAGGCGAAAAAAAAAAAAAAGAUUAGGCUCCCUCAUUGGGCGUUUCAGCUCUUCUGACAGGUCCCGGAGUUGGCCCCCAUUUAAAACCCGGGGUCUCUCACUUUUCGUCGACCCUAUAAAUAAACAAAGCCAGGCGCACCCCGCGUUCCCCGCCGGAAAACGGCCCAUUCCGGGCGAGGACAACUUCCCCCGGUCAGAAAAUUAACACAUUCCUCUCGCUGCCGUCCAGCCCCUCGCUCCGGGGAAGCGGAGAGGCGGGGGUUCGGGCCGAACUUCAGGGCGAGCGUGGGGCUCCGGAGACGCCCGCCCCCCCACCCCAGCUCCGCAGCUGGAGCGACACCCCCGCCCAGCCUCCCCGGCCGGGGCCCGCAGCCUGGCGCACGCGGGGCUCGGACACGGCCGAGCGCCGCCUCCGGGGCUGGGGAGGGCGGGAGCGGCUGCAGGGCACCGGGACGGCGGGGGUGCUACUUUGACGGAAAAAAAAAAAAGGUCAAACUUGAUCAGCCCGCCAGGCACCCCGCGGGCAGCGGGGGCGAGCAGCCGGAGGGGAAAUGCAGAAGUGGCCGCCGCCUCUUCCAAGUGGAGGGGGAGGCUCGGCGACGCGUGGUGUAGGGCGCGCAGAGCAGUUGCCGUGGCCCCCCCAAACCCUGGGCUGCGAAUGGGGUCCCAGGCGGGCAGUGCGCACCCGAGAUCGCCAACCAGCCGCCCCCGCAGGCGGAGCGCCCGCCCAACGCCGAGAGUGAUCUGCGACCGACCACACUGCGGCUCGGGGAGGCUUGGGUAUAGCAGCGGCCACCGAGCGAUCACCGGCGCUAGGUCUCCCGGGCUCCGGGGGCUCCGCGGCUCCAGCUGCGGGCGCCCCACGCCCCUCCCAAACGCGGACCCCUCCUUCCCCGUCCCCGGCUCUCCGCACCUGAACUUCGGGGGAAGCCGCGCCGCCAAACUUUCCGCCGACUUGCAGCGAACUCCGGCCCCGACCGCGCACCGAGCCCCGGGGGAGGAGAGGGAGGGAGGCGGGGAAGGGGAGGGGGCCGGCCUUCGGGGGGGUCGGGGGAGGGCUGUGGCCCGACACCUACCGGCUCUCCGAGUCGUCCAAGCCGCCACCGCCGCCGUCGCCGCGAGGCCGAGGGGGAGGGGCGGGGCGGGGAGCUGCGCUCCGCUCUGGGCACCGCCGCCGCGGUGCGCUCCGCUCAGCCGCCCGCCGUGCCCGGGUCCGGAGCCGGACUCGCGCCGCCGCGGCUGGCCCGAGGCGGGGAGGGGGGGGAGCCUGCAGCACCUGCCCCUCCUCCCCCUCCCCGCGGCCCAAAUUAAAAAACAACAAAAAGCAACUAAUCACCCCCGAGCGGAGCGCGGCGCGGCGGGCGGAGGGCUCAGCGUGCGGCGCCCGGACUCAGCAGGCGGCGCGCAUGGCUGGGCGCGGGCUGGGCAGGGGCUGGGACGCGGGGCCGGCUUCGGGGGCGAGGCUCGGCCGCUCUUCUCGCUCGGCUGGGGAGCCUGCUCUCGCCGCCGCCGCCGCCAGUGCCGCCGCCUCUACAUCCCCGCUCAGGCUCCGCCGCCUCUGCCGCCGCCGCCGCCGCCGCCGCCGCGCGCCCGCCCGGGCAGGAGCUCUGAACGCUGCCCGGGGGCUGCCGGCAAAACCCGGACCGGACUCGCCGCUGCCUCCUCCUCCUCCCCCCCUUCCACCUCGGCUCCCCUCCCUCCUCCCGCCGCCUCCCUCCCAGCGCUGCUCUGGUCACUUGGAUGCCGCCAGGCAUUGAGGCCGGAGCCGCAGUCGCUGCGUCUCUAGCUCCCCGCUCCCUGACGUCGCCGACCCAGGCGCAGCGCCCCGUGAGCCCUACUUCACCUACCCCCACCCUGCAACUUCCUAAAAAAAAAAAAAAAGCACCGUCCCUUUGCCCCCUGCGUUCAGAGGAGUGAGAAGCGACAAGCCUCGGGAGGGAGAGCGCUCAUCCGGCCUCGCACCUCAGGGCUGGGGAGCUCAAAGACCCCGGGCUUGGGCAACAAGGGAGCAGAGAUUCCUGUCCCCAUUUCACAGAUGAGGAAACUGAUCCUGUUUCCUACUCAGGCCCGGGGUCCUGAGGCUAAGGGGACUGCACUGUGGGGCCCUGAGACUGACCCAAGUCGAGAGCUUGCAACAGUCCCUGGGACAGAGCGGUGCCCAACAGACACUGGCUAGAGGUGUGGACCCAGCAGGCCCCUCCAUCUGCCCAACCUGGGCUGCCCACUGCCUCAGAGGGCUUCCUCGCAAGCAGCCACAGAGCGAGCCCCCAGGCUCAUGUCAUCCCAAAGUGCAAGUCUUCUCCCAUUCUCCGAAAUCCCUGCACCCGGGGUUUGUGCAGAGGUGCUGCCCCUAGACCCCUGGGGAGGGGGAGGAGCCCAGGGUUCAGCCUUACCUUCUGAGACCAGCUGGAGUUCAGAGAGCAGGGAGUUAACUGCACCACAGGCUGCUCAGUGGGAGAAGCGAAACCGUCUCCCACCUCGCUGCUUCCUCCCAUCGUCCGUGUGUGCGGCGGCCUGGCUGUCUCCCAGGCAUGGCUGUCGGGCCUGGGGUUCCAGGGAAGUGGCCGUGCCCACCCUCCUGGGGGUCUUGACUCAGCCCGGAGGCAGGGGGUUAUGGAGUGUCAAAGGGCAGAACCCAUCUGAAAACUGUUGCCUCUCUCAUUCCUGGCAUCCCAGGCCACAGGAGUAGCCCCUCCCAGAUAAUUUGGGCACCCCCUCCAGCCAGUUCCUUCUUUGCACUGAUGCUAGAAGUGUCCUCCCUGACCAGCUGGGUCAAGGAAUGGCUCCUUGGGCAGGUGUUUCGCCUUUUUCUUUCUUUAGAUUUAUUUAUUUGAAAGUCAGAGUUACAGGGGCCAGCCUUGUGGUGUAAUGGGUUAAGCCACCACCUGCAAUGCCGGCAUCCCAUAUGGACACCAGUUCAAAUCCUGGCUGCUCCACUUCCAAUCUGGUUCCUUGCUAAUGUUCCUGGGAAAGCAGUGGAAGAUGGCUCAAGCGCUUGGACCCCUGCACCCACGUGGGAGACCCAGUUGAAGUUCUUGGAUCCUGGCUUUGGCCUGGCAUGGCCCUGACUGGUGUGGCCAUUUGGGGAAUGAACCAGCAGAUAAAAGACCCCCCCCCAUAACUCUUUUCACUUUUUUUAUUUGAAAGGCAGCAUGGCCGGCGCCGCAGCUCACUAGGCUAAUCCUCCGCCUUGCGGCGCCGGCACACCAGGUUCUAGUCCUGGUCGGGGCACCAGAUUCUAUCCCGGUUGCCCCUCUUCCAGGCCAGCUCUCUGCUGUGGCCAGGGAGUGCAGUGGAGGGUGGCCCAAGUCCUUGGGCCCUGCACCCCAUGGGAGACCAGGAGAAGCACCUGGCUCCUGUCAUCGGAUCAGCACAGUGUGCCGGCCGCAAUGUGCCAGCCGCGGCGGCCACUGGAGGGUGAACCAACGGCAAAAGGAAGACCUUUCUCUCUGUCUCUGUCUCUCUCACUGUCCACUCUGCCUGUCAAAAAAAAAAAAAAAAAAAAAAAGGCAGGCAGCGUUACAAAGAGAGAGAGAGAUCUUCUAUCUGUUGGUUUAUUCCCCAAAUGGCUGCAACGGCUGGUGCUGGACUAGGCCGAAGCCAAGAGUCUGGACUUCAUCUGGGUCUCCCAAGUGGAUGGUAGGACCUAACCACUUG